AAGCGGCGGCCGUUAGGAAAAUGGCGCCGUGCGGCCCGGGGCAGACCCCCGUCACUGGUCACCGCCGCCUUCCUGGCGCAGCUGCUGUGUCACGGCCACACCGGCCGGCUGUACAGCAGGCAGGAGCCGGUGACCAUUCUGGAGGCGGAUGGGGUUAAGGCCCUGUUUGGGAACUGGUCGGCCGCCUGGGUGGUGGAGUUCUACUGGUCGUGGGGCGGCCCCUGUGUCAACUAUGGGGCCACCUGGAAGGUACUGGGCCCGGGAGGUGAAAGGGCCACCAGAAGCCUUCUCAGUACUCUACAAGUGACUUCACCAACAUCCUGUACACCUUCAACAUGAUGUCCCAACUCCUUUGUUCAAUGGUGUGAACAAUUAAGCCCAACAUACGGAUGAAAGAAAACACCACUUCGACUGGGACAACAUCUAUCCUGGGACAGGCUAAGCAAAGACAUGCCAGAGAAUUCCUAGAGGCCUGGCACUCCAAUCACAACACCAUAAACAAACACAUAGAUCUAGAUACCAUCUAUCAACCCCUCAGAAAAUGAACAGGAAAUGACAUCACCACAAACCCCAGGAACCCCAUCCAGGCCAAACAUAUAAAUCGAAAGCAGGAGACAACAGCUUCGCUUCACUUGGAGGUCGCCACUGAUGAUGUUCCCGAGCCAGGUAAUGAAACGUCUGGAUAUCAAACCUACAGCUCAGCGAGCAAACCUACACCCUAAUCCUCAACCUGAGCUACAAACCUUGCAAAGUAGAAUGUAUUUGCAAACAUCAUGCUGCAAAUACAAACCCACCCCCAUGGAUGAUCUAUCUCGUGUGUGCAUGAGAUAGAGAAACAGUCUAUUUCCAUGCUGUUUAUCUCUAUUUGAUAACCGUUGCUUUAUUUCUGUUGGUGUAAAUGUUGUUGUAAUUCAUAGCUGGAUCCUCAUAGGUGUAAGGGUGACAGAAUUCCUCAAGUAGGGCAUUGGAAGAUUCCUGGGAGACCCCUAUUUCUGGUUUACUUCCUCAUGAACAAACAUUAAGCACGUGUACCUAUUUAUUUACGAUUUUGUUUUAUUUUUCUUGUUCGAUUCCCUGCUAUGACUACACCUUGUAUUAGGAUAGUUGACAGGCUGGGAGAUUGUGGCUUGGGUCUUGAUUGAAUAUUUUAUCGUUCCAGAAGUUAUAAAAGGCGGGGUCAAAGCUUUAGCAGAAAUCCAGCAGAGCUGAGAACAGACCGACAUCUUAGUCUGUGGGAACAGGGAGAUCAACAGAGGAUAGAGAAAUCAGGUCCUGAAACCAGACCACCCUGUGAUCAGUGCUUUGAUUAGAGGCAUCCUUCUACAUCAGUCAAUGCCAGUUGUCAGACAGGUGCAGCAAGGCAAGUGGUAUAUUAGCAGGCUGAACUGAGAUUAGAAAUGGGGAUGUCUUCCUGCAGUUAGGGAGUCAUUGAAUUUAUUCAAGGCUGAGUUCAUCUGAUUUUUGAACAACAAAGUGUAGAUUUUUAUGUUGUGUGGAUGAGGUGUGUUUUUUUGUGGUUUAUGUUUUGGAUACAGGAAGAGUAGACAUUUUUAAAGUGGAAGGCAAGAAAAUGGUUUUAAGACCACGACAGAACAGUUAUGGUCAGACAGCACAGAAACAGACCCUUCAGUCCAACUAUUCCAUGCUGACUAUGUUCUCAAACUAAACUAGUGCCACUUGCCAGUGUUUGGCCCAUAUACAUCCACACCUUCCCUAUUCAUGUACUUAUCCACAUGAAUUUUAAACGUUGCAUCUGAACAUGUAUCCACCACUUCCUCUUUACAUUCACUCAAUACAUGAAACACUCUGUUAUAAACAAACUUUUCCCAAUUCUGUCCAUUCCAUGGAUUCAUUCUCUUUCCUUUCAGUUGCUGCAAGUCAUAAAUUGAAGCCCAGAAUGAAAUAAAUGGAAAAGGAGUUGUGAAGAGAGUACCCUACUCACAGAUGGUUGACACAGUAAGGAGGGUGCAGUCUGGAGCAAACCCAAAAUGUCGAUUUUCCUGCUCCUCGGAUGCUGCCUGACCUGCAGUACUUUGCCAGCACCACUCUAAUCUUGACCCUGAUCUCCAGCAUCUGCAGUUCUAACUUUCUCCUGUAAGAAAUCAGCAGUUUUAAACCAAAAACCUGUUGCAGUUUAAAGCUCUCAUUGAGAGCAUGAGCUCAGUGUGAAGUUCAGGUAAUCUUUAUUGUGACCCAACUUUGUUACAGCUUCAGAAUCUCCCAGCAGAAAGGUGUAGAAAAAGUAGCAAUUUUUUAAAAACAGCUCAAGGUCAAAGUGCAACUCCUCACUUUCUUCAUUAUUGGUCACCACUGAGUUGUCCCUUUGUAAUUGGAUCCUUGAUAUCGCCUUAACCUGGAGGAAGUAUUGCCUCACUCAGCAAUUUCAACCUGUAUCCAAGUAAGUUGGAUGAGCAGCAUAGAGUCAACCAGACUAUUGUGGGUCUGGAGUCAUGUGUAGGCCAGAGCGGGUAAAGGAUGCAGCUGGGACGACUGCUCUAAUAACUGCUCAAGUCUUCCCUAAAGAACUGAGUGAAUCAGAAGGGGUUUUUUUUCCACCCCCACCCCACCGACAAUAGUUUCACCGUUAGAUUCUGAACUCCAGAUUUCUGACCAAAUUCCAAUUCCGCCAUCUGUUGUGGGAAUCGAACUCGGGCGCCACUGGAACUGGGUUGAUAGUCCAGUUGGUAAAGGCACUCGGCCGUCUUUCUUUCAAUCCUCCUGCAAUGCCAUGUGAUCCCGCUGGUAGGUCAGCAAGGAGGCAGCCUGGGUAAAGGCCUUCCCGCACUUGGGGCAGCUUAAGGGCCUCUCCCCCAUGUGGAUCCACUGGUGGGUCUGGAGGUUGGAGGAAUCGCUUAAGUCCUUCCUGCAGUCAGGGCAGGGGAACGGCCUCUCCCCAGUGUGACUGCGCCAAUGAGUCUCCAGGGCAGACGGGAAACAAGCCUUUCCCACAGUCGUCACACUUCCAUGGUUUCUCCACGGGGCGGGAUUCCUCGGGUUUCUCCAUGGCCGAAGCUUCAGCCGCACAAACGCAUGUGGAGCUUCUGUCCACCGUGAAUUCCUCUUUCCAAACCGUAGAGCUGUUGCACGCUCCUCACUCAGUGCACUGUAAUGGUAGGGUCUCUCAUCCAGUCCCACUGAUGCUGAAAACGUACCCAAACAGGAACCAAACAGCUUUGCUCCUCACAGAAUCAUAGUUGCAAACUGUUGCGGUCCCGAUGGAUUGGAUUGAAUGACUGUCAGACAUGGAUGUCAAAGUAAGGACUGCAGACGCUGGAGAGUCAGAGUCAGAAAAUGUGGCGCUGGAAAAGCACAGCAGGUCAGGCAGCAUCCGAGGAGCAGGAGAGUCAACGUUUUGGGCAUUAGGCCUUCGUCUGUUGAUUUUGAAACUUCCAUCUUCAGAUCCUGAAAUGUAAAAAGAGAUUACAAAAGUCAUCACUGUCAGUGCAGGGUAGAAAUUCUGAACAAGCAAUUCUACUUUCUGCGGAAAGUUCUUUUCUUUUGUUAUUUCACAAAAUUGAAAGCACCAUCCCACUCUCUCUCCCCCUCUGUUCUCACUCUGAUCUAACUAAUUCCCCUGAAGGUGCUGAUUCAGGAUCUUCCAGGGGCAGAAAAGCAAAAACGUCAAGACUGACAUCUCUCUGAAUUUUGGAUAACUCCACCUGAAAGUUAAUAUCUUUCACAGCAUUGGGAUACUGCUGAGAGGGGUGGAGGUCUGAUUUUGGGAAGUAAAAAAAAAUAAUGAGUUUGUGCCAAUCCCUUCCCUUCAGAGAAUCCCCAGAGUGUGAAAGCAGGCCACUCAGCCCCACAAAUCCAUACCGACCCUCUAAAGGGUAACAGGCCCACACCUAUUCCCCUACCCCCUAUUGCUCAACUUUUACUCCCUGAUUGGUGCACCUAACCUGCACAUCUCUGGGCAUGGUCAAUCCAUCCUAACCUGGUCAAAAGUUAAAAAUCACACCACCAGGUGAGUGUUCAACAGGUUUAUUUGGAAUGACUCGCUGAUCCUUCAGGUGGUUGUGGAGAAUAAGAUCUUAAGACAUAACUUAUAGAAAAACAUUAUCGCGUUCUGCCACCGAAAUGAUAUAUUGAACAAACCUGGACUGUCAAGUCUUUUAUCUUUUAGACUGGAUUGCAGCUAUCAUUCACAUGUAAAUCCCAGACCUUCUUGCAAGGCACCUUAUCAAGAUAACUCGAGGUUUUAUAGCAAAAUGUGACAUCUCAGUUCACAUAAUGCAUUAAAGGUGUGAGGUCAGAGUCUGUCUGUGUCCCAGUCUUGAGUCAGACUGGUUCUAUUUCCAAAGUGUAAUAUUUUGUAAAUUACAUGGAUUGACUGCUUACUGAUUGUGUAUUUUUUGAGCAAAAUAGAAUGUAUCUGCAAAUAUCAUUCUGCAAAUACAA